rnacentral:rRNA from 1 species
GAUGAACGCUGGCGGCGUGCCUAAUACAUGCAAGUCGAGCGAACAGACGAGGAGCUUGCUCCUCUGACGUUAGCGGCGGACGGGUGAGUAACACGUGGAUACCCUACCUAUAAGACUGGGAUAACUUCGGGAAACCGGAGCUAAUACCGGAUAAUAUAUUGAACCGCAUGGUUCAAUAGUGAAAGACGGUUUUGCUGUCUCUUAUAGAUGGAUCCGCGCCGCAUUAGCUAGUUGGUAAGGUAACGGCUUACCAAGGCGACGAUGCGUAGCCGACCUGAGAGGGGGAUAGGCCACACUGGAACUGGGACGCGGUCCAGACUCCUAAGGGAGGCAGCAGUAGGGAAUCUGCCGCAAUGGGCGAAAGCCUGACGGAGCAACGCCGCGUGAGUGAUGAAGGUCUUCGGAUCGUAAAACUCUGUUAUUAGGGAAGAACAAAUGUGUAAGUAACUAUGCACGUCUUGACGGUACCUAAUCAGAAAGCCACGGCUAACUACGUG